UACAGAGGCCUCGAGCGUUAGCCGGAAUCACUGGGCUUAAAGCGUGUGUAGGCGGCCUUCUAAGUCCCUUGUGAAAUCCCACGGCUUACCCGUGGAACGGCUGGGUAUACUGGGAGUCUUGAGCCACCUAGGGGCGAGUGGAACAAAUGGUGGAGCGGUGAAAUGCGUAGAUAUCAUGUGGAACGCCAAUGGUGAAAACAACUCGCUGGGGGUGUGCUGACGCUGAGACACGAAAGCCAGGGGAGCGAACGGG
rnacentral:rRNA from 1 species